rnacentral:rRNA from 1 species
UACGAAGGGGGCUAGCGUUGCUCGGAAUCACUGGGCGUAAAGGGUGCGUAGGCGGGUCUUUAAGUCAGGGGUGAAAUCCUGGAGCUCAACUCCAGAACUGCCUUUGAUACUGAGGAUCUUGAGUUCGGGAGAGGUGAGUGAACUGCGAGUGUAGAGGUGAAAUUCGUAGAUAUUCGCAAGAACACCAGUGGCGAAGGCGGCUCACUGGCUCACUACUGACGCUGAGGCGCGAAAGCGUGGGGAGCAAACAGG